rnacentral:rRNA from 1 species
GCAUAUCAAUAAGCGGAGGAAAAGAAACCAACAGGGAUUGCCCUAGUAACGGCGAGUGAAGCGGCAACAGCUCAAAUUUGAAAUCUGGCUUCGGCCCGAGUUGUAAUUUGCAGAGGAUGUUUCUGGCGCGGUGCCUUCCGAGUUCCCUGGAACGGGACGCCACAGAGGGUGAGAGCCCCGUAUGGUUGGACACCAAGCCUGUGUGAAACUCCUUCGACGAGUCGAGUAGUUUGGGAAUGCUGCUCAAAAUGGGAGGUAAAUCUCUUCUAAAGCUAAAUACCGGCCAGAGACCGAUAGCGCACAAGUAGAGUGAUCGAAAGAUGAAAAGCACCUUGAAAAGGGGGUUAAACAGUACGUGAAAUUGUUGAAAGGGAAGCGCUUGUGACCAGACUUGCGCCGGGCGGUUCAUCCGGGGUUCUCCCCGGUGCACUCCGCCCGGCUCAGGCCAGCAUCGGUUUUCGUUGGGGGAUAAGAACGGCAGGAACGUGGCCCUCCUUCGGGUGGGUGUUAUAGCCUGCCGUACGAUACCCUGACGGGGACCGAGGUUCGCGCUCCGCAAGGAUGCUGGCGUAAUGGUCAUCAGCGACCCGUCUUGAAACACGGACCAAGGAGUCGUCCAUUAGAGCGAGCGUUUGGGUGUCAAACCCGCACGCGUAAUGAAAGUGAAAUUAGGUGAGAGCUUCGGCGCAUCAUCGACCGAUCCUGAUGUUCUCGGAUGGAUUUGAGUAAGAGUUUUAACGGACGGACCCGAAAGACAGUGAACUAUGCUUGUAUAGGGUGAAGCCAGAGGAAACUCUGGUGGAGGCUCGCAGCGGUUCUGACGUGCAAAUCGAUCGUCAAAUAUGAGCAUGGGGGCGAAAGACUAAUCGAACUGUCUAGUAGCUGGUUACCGCCGAU